AGGUUGCAUUUUUUUAGAAUAUCUUUGAAUGUUAGUACAAUUUCUUUUGGUAUCAAAAGUUGAACUAUGAUAUAGCCUCGUUGCUGAUUAACUUAUUUUAUCUAACUGAUUUUGACCCUGAUUUGGUGGUUGAGUAUUUUGGAUUCUUGACAUGGAUUUCAUCUUUGUUCCACGAGUAAUACCGAUCUACCUUACUGAUUUCUAGGUGCACUGAAGCAUGUUAAGUUGCAGCAUGGGGCAGACAAAAAUUGAACUUCUCCAAAGCAAAUCGGUGGUUCGCAAGUGCCACAAACCAGAGACAAUGUAAGCAUGAGAAGGCUCAAUCCUGGAAUAUGUAUCAAUAACUAGGGUAAGACCAAUACAUUGUUGAUGUUGAAAAGUUAUGAACUGCAAUGUAUGGGAAUGAACCAUAUCAAACGGAUAAAAUGUAGUCAAUUUAAUCUGAUAAAUGUAUAAUUGCAUAAGAAAUUUAAUCUUUGAUUAUUAUUUU